rnacentral:rRNA from 1 species
UAAGGAAUAUUGGUCAAUGGAGGCAACUCUGAACCAGCCAUGCCGCGUGCAGGAAGAAGGCCCUAUGGGUCGUAAACUGCUUUUUGAACAAGAGAAAACCCCGGUACGUGUACUGGGUUGAUAGUAUUGUUAGAAUAAGCAUCGGCUAACUUCGUGCCAGCAGCCGCGGUAAGACGAAGGAUGCAAGCGUUAUCCGGAUUCAUUGGGUUUAAAGGGUGCGUAGGCGGACUGAUAAGUCAGUGGUGAAAUCUCUCGGCUUAACCGAGAAACUGCCAUUGAUACUGUUAGUCUAGAGUACAGAUGAUGUGGGCGGAAUAUGACAUGUAGUGGUGAAAUACUUAGAUAUGUCAUAGAACACCGAUUGCGAAGGCAGCUCACAAAACUGUAACUGACGCUGAGGCACGAAAGUGCGGGGAUCAAACAGGAUUAGAUACCCCAGUAGUCCCUGAGCGGGCUGGCAAGGCGCAU